rnacentral:misc_RNA from 1 species
GAUGAAGAACGUAGCGAAAUGCGAUAAGUAGUGUGAAUUGCAGAAUUCAGUGAAUCAUCGAAUCUUUGAACGCACAUUGCGCCCCUUGGUAUUCCAUGGGGCAUGCCUGUUCGAGCGUCAUUUGUACCUUCAAGCUCUGCUUGGUGUUGGGUGUUUGUCUCGCCUCUGCGUGUAGACUCGCCUCAAAACAAUUGGCAGCCGGCGUAUUGAUUUCGGAGCGCAGUACAUCUCGCGCUUUGCACUCAUAACGACGACGUCCAAAAGUACAUUUUUACACUCUUGACCUCGGAUCAGGUAGGGAUACCCGCUGAACUUAAGCAUAUCAUAAGCGGAGGA